CAAUAGCGUAUAUUAAAGUUGUUGCAGUUAGAACGCUCGUAGUCGGAUUUCGGGGCGGGUCGACCGGUCUGCCGAUGGGUACGCACUGGCCGACGCGUCCUUCCUUCCGGAGACCGUCUCACUCUUAACUGAGCGGAGGCGGGAGACGGAACGUUUACUUUGAAAAAAUCAGAGUGUUUCAAGCAGGCAGCUCGCUCUUGCAUGGAUUAGCAUGGGAUAAUGAAAUAGGACUUUGGUGCUAUUUUGUUGGUUUCGAACACCGAAGUAAUGAUGAGAAGGGACAGUCAGGGGCACUCGUAUUCCGCCGAGAGAGGUGAAAUUCUCAGACCAGCGGAAGACGAACCACUGCGAAAGCAUUUGCCAGGGAUGUUUUCACUG
rnacentral:rRNA from 1 species